AAGGAAUUCAAAUUCUUCAUGCAUUAUGCAAAGACUGACACAGAAACUCUUGAAAUCUCACAAGAAUGGAGCUCCACUUUAAAAUUUUGGGUCUGGUUCCAUGACAGCUAUUCUACCCUAUUGAUCUGCCAGUCUAUUUUUCACCAGAACGAACAGAAAUAGGACUAAUGGAAGAGGGCAUAUAGGAUCUGGAGACUUCCUCCCACCCUUUACAGCUGACAGCAGUGAGUUAUGAGGUGUUACAGAGUAAAACAGAGUUACCGUAAGAGCUGUCCAAAUAACUUAUGUCCUUGAAUCACAACACCAUCUUCAGAAGAUAAUUCAUGUCACAAGUGAAUGUUCAGUAAUAUGGAUUUUCUCCAAAACACCAUAUUUAACAGGCAACAUCAUUGCGAGGUGAAUUUAAUGGCAGAGUGCAUUAUUUAAUAGAAUUGAACUAUACUCUAACAUUCAACAAGAGCUGAUUAAAAUGUAUGCAUAGUUGAUAAAGAAACUUAAAUA
rnacentral:lncRNA from 1 species